GUGACCUCAAAUCAGGUAGGACUACCCGCUGAACUUAAGCAUAUCAAUAAGCGGAGGAAAAGAAACUAACAAGGAUUCCCCUAGUAACUGCGAGUGAAGCGGGAAAAGCUCAAAUUUAAAAUCUGGCGGYUUUUUUGGCCGUCCGAGUUGUAAUCUAGAGAAGUGUUAUCCGCGCUGGACCGUGUACAAGUCUCCUGGAAUGGAGCAUCAUAGAGGGUGAGAAUCCCGUCUUUGACAUGGACUGCCAGGGCUUUGUGAUGCGCUCUCAAAGAGUCGAGUUGUUUGGGAAUGCAGCUCAAAAUGGGUGGUAAAUUCCAUCUAAAGCUAAAUAUUGGCGAGAGACCGAUAGCGAACAAGUACCGUGAGGGAAAGAUGAAAAGAACUUUGGAAAGAGAGUUAAACAGUACGUGAAAUUGCUGAAAGGGAAACGCUUGAAGUCAGUCGCGUCGUCCAGGGAUCAACCUUGCUUUUGCUUGGUGCAUUUUCUGGUUUGACGGGUCAGCAUCAAUUUUGACUAUUGGAAAAAGGCUAAGGGAAUGUGGCAUCUUUGGAUGUGUUAUAGCCCUUGGUCACAUACAAUGGUUGGGAUUGAGGAACUCAGCAUGCCGCAAGGCCGGGUUUUAAACCACGUUCGUGCUUAGGAUGCUGGCAAUAUGGCUUUAAUCGACCCGUC
rnacentral:rRNA from 1 species